CCCUGGAGCUCUCCCCAGGCCUUCCCAUCUGUACCUCCCUUCCUGCCCUCACCCAGCCUCUCAGGGCCUUGCCGGGGCUAGGCCUGCUCUGGCUGACCGAGGUGUCGCCGGAGGCCCCUCUGGGCAUGGCCACCCUCCUGGGCAGCCCUAAGGUGCUCAUAUCAUGAAGGAAGUGGAAAAGCCCCUCCCUGAGCCCCUGCAGGACACACCUCUGUGACCCUGGACCACUCCCUCUGUGCUACCUCUCCUACAGGGGCCCUGAGGAACAUUCUGGAAGCUGAGCUCAUCAAGGACCUUGGAGGAAAGGAAGAGCCAACAGAGCCAUUUUGUUGAGAAGAAACCACAACUUCAGAACAACAGACCGUGACUUUAAGUAAUUUCUACAACGUAGAGAUCAAGAGUCGCAUGCUCCACCAAGUAAGGCUUGUUCCUGGAAAUGUUUGAACUGUGCCGUUAACAUGAGGUCUGCUGGCUUUUCUGCUGUGAAGCGACAUCUACAAGAACUCUCCGCAUGCCGACUCUGUCCACAUCCCUUGCACUAACAGACUUUGCCCAAAUUCUCCUGCAGCUUCUGGCAGCCCAAGACCUAAGCCUAAGGCCACUGGGAUGACCCAGCCCCCUUGAGUGCCAGUCUGGCAAAGUUAAAGGAUGAUGAAAGAAUUGACUGUUUGUUCCAGCCAGCCCCAGAAGAUGGGCUACUGACCUCCCAUUCUUAGAGCCUUUGUAGAAAAACCUUGAACUGUUUAAGUCCCUUCUCUGAAAUGUCUCUCUGAAAUGGUGUCCUCAGGAAGGCUGGGGCCUCUGUCUCCCUGGCUCAGAGGGAGGGAGAAGCUUGACUUCACAGAGCACCUCAUGACUUUGACAAUGACAAUGACCAACCUUCUUAGCUGCUUCUUGCGGUUUCUCAGUCCCCGACUCUGUGGGAGUCCCCGGUCUGUUUUUACCUCCUGCACCUUGACCCUGGCUUUGUUGAUCUUUGACAAAACAUAACUCUUUUUCCCAUUGAAACUUCUCUUUGUCGGGUUACACCUUGAGGCUCUGAGGAAAAAAAAUCCUGUUACUCCUCAAACUUUCCCAGACUGAUUUUAACCACCAUUAGGGAUCCUUGCCCGAGUCACUCACUAGCCCAAUGGUCAUUUUCUAAUUCCGUUCUUUCUACAUUGGUGAAAAAGAGCGUUCCCUUCUUGUCCACUUGAGUACGUAUUUGAAUCAUUAUGAAUUCAUAAAUUCUAAAAUUAAAAAAUUCAUAUUUUA